GAUGAGCGCUGGCUACAGGCUUAACACAUGCAAGUCGAGGGGAAACGGCAUUGAGUGCUUGCACUGAAUGGACGUCGACCGGCGCACGGGUGAGUAACGCGUAUCCAACCUUCCCGUUACUGCGGGAUAACCUGCCGAAAGGCAGACUAAUACCGCAUGUUCUUCGAUGACGGCAUCAGAUUCGAAGCAAAGAUCCGUCGGUAACGGAGGGGGAUGCGUCUGAUUAGCUAGUUGGCGGGGCGACGGCCCACCAAGGCGACGAUCAGUAGGGGUUCUGAGAGGAAGGUCCCCCACAUUGGAACUGAGACACGGUCCAAACUCCUACGGGAGGCAGCAGUGAGGAAUAUUGGUCAAUGGGCGGAAGCCUGAACCAGCCAAGUAGCGUGCAGGAUGACGGCCCUACGGGUUGUAAACUGCUUUUAUGCGGGGAUAAAGUGAGGGACGCGUCCCUUUUUGCAGGUACCGCAUGAAUAAGGACCGGCUAAUUCCGUG
rnacentral:rRNA from 1 species